rnacentral:rRNA from 1 species
GACGAACCGUGCGAACGUUAUUCGGAAUCACUGGGCUUAAAGGGCGCGUAGGCGGGCUGACAAGUCUGGGGUGAAAUCCCGCGGCUCAACCGUGGAACUGCCUUAGAUACUGUCGGCCUCGAGGAAGGUAGGGGCAUGCGGAACUGUAGGUGGAGCGGUGAAAUGCGUUGAUAUCUACAGGAACUCCGGUGGCGAAAGCGGCGUGCUGGACCUUUUCUGACGCUGAGGCGCGAAAGCUAGGGGAGCAAACGGG